AUGCUCAUGAAUUCGUCGUCGUCGUCUUCAUCGGACGGCGAUGAACUAAUUCUUGCAGCAUUUGCAAAGCGCGAGGAGGAAGAGGAGGCAAAUGCUCGACAUCAUGGCGGUUCCACGUUGGGACGACAAUUUUUGCAUCGCGGAAGAGAUGCCGGAUUUGUUCUACUGUGGAGCGACUACUUCAAAGAAAAUCCCACUUUUCCCGAAAGUUAUUUUCGCCGAAGGUAUAGAAUGUCCCGUAAUUUGUUUAAUCGCAUAGCUGAAGCAGUACUUGAGCAUGAUAGUUAUUUUAAGCAAAAAAGAAAUUCUGCUGGAGCUCUUGGGUUACAUCCUCUGCAGAAGAUGACAACGGCAAUGCGACUGCUAACUUACGGAUAUGCGGCUGAUGCCACGGAUGAGUAUUGUCGGUCUGGAGAAUCUACAAAUCUAGCAUCUUGCAAAAAGUUUGUGAUAGCUAUUUGUGAAAUAUUUGGGGACCAGUAUCUGAGAUCUCCAAAUGAAGAAGAUACUGCUAGAUUGCUUGCAAUAGGGGAGCAAAGAGGUUUUCCUGGUAUGUUAGGGUCUAUAGAUUGCAUGCAUUGGACUUGGAAAAAUUGUCCUAAAAAAUGGCAUGGCAUGUUUAAAGGUCAUGUGAACAAGCCAACAAUGAUUCUGGAGGCAGUUGCUUCAAAGGAUCUUUGGAUUUGGCAUGCAUUCUUUGGUUUACCAGGGUCUCUCAAUGACAUAAAUGUGCUUCAACGUUCACCUGUGUUUGCAAAGCUAUCUGAAGGUGAAGCUCCAAAAGUGAAUUAUACCAUCAAUGGUCAUCCGUACACAAUGGGGUAUUACCUUGCAGAUGGUAUAUAUCCACCAUGGGCAACAUUUGUGAAGACCAUACCAGCUCCAGAAGGCAGAAAGAAGAAACGUUUUGCCAAAAGACAAGAGGGGGCCAGAAAGGAUGUGGAGAGAGCAUUUGGAGUUUUGCAAUCCCGUUUUGCCAUUGUUCGAGGACCAGCAAAAGGUUGGAAACGUAAAGAAAUUGGUGAUCUCAUGAAAGCUUGCAUCAUAAUGAACAAUAUGAUAGUCGAAGAUGAGCGAGACAGCGGUCCACAUGACUACAUCUAUGACUCUAUGGGAGUAAAGGUGACCCCAUCUCAUACUCAUGCGGAAAAACUGAGUGUGUUUAUUCAAAUGCAUCAACGGAUCACAAACAGAGCAUUUCACUCUCAGCUCCAAGAUGAUCUAGUUGAGCACAUUUGGCAAAAGUUUGGAGACGAAUGA
rnacentral:rRNA from 1 species